rnacentral:tRNA from 1 species
GCCUCGGUGGCUAAGCGGUCUACAGCGUCUGCCUCGUACGCUGGUCGACUCGCGGGUUCAAAUCCCGCCCGGGGCUCCA